ACCCGCUGAAUUUAAGCAUAUAAGUAAGCGGAGGAAAAGAAACUAAACUGGAUUCCCUAAGUAAUGGCGAAUGAACAGGGAUGAGCUCAUUGUUAAAAUCAGGGUCCCUGACUCUGAGUUGUAGCCUGGAGAUGCGUCGCCAACAGGGGCGUAGGUGCGAACCUCUUGGAAAAGAGCAUCAAGGAGGGUGAGAAUCCCAUGCAUCACCUGUGGCCCCCUGUGCUCGGCGCGCUUUCUAAGAGUCACGCUCCUCGGGAUUGGAGCGCAAAGUGGGUGGUAAAUGCCAUCUUAAGCUAAAUAUGGGUUCGAGACCGAUAGCAAACAAGUACCAUGAGGGAAAGGUGAAAAGGACUUUGGAAAGAGAGUUAAAAGUGCCUGAAAUUGCUGUAAGGGAAGCGAAUGGAACCAGUCAGCCUCGGCGAGAUUGCUGCGCGCUCAAGUGAGGCCCUGCUCCGGUAGUGCAAACACGGCUGCAGGCGUCGAUCUGGUUGCGCGUGGUCGCUUCUUGCUUUGGGUGUCAGCGUCAGCUCAACUCUGAGGACAACCCCAAGGACAUGGAAGGCCGCCCCCGGGUGGCUGAAGGUGCUUGGCGGAACUCAAGCGUGGACUGCUUGGCGCAACGCGCCUGCGCUGACGACAUGGAUUCGUUCGGCCCGUCUUGAAACACGGACCAAGGAGUCUAGCAUAUGUGCAAGCACAUGGGUGUUAAACCUAAGUGCGCAAUGAAAGUGACUGCUGGGAUCCUUGCACCAGCAACCGACUGAUCAAUUGGGAGAGGUUUGAGUUUGAGCAUAUCUGUUAGGACCCGAAAGAUGGUGAACUAUGCCUGAGAAGGACAAAGUCAGGGGAAACUCUGAUGGAGGUUCGCAGCGAUACUGACGUGCAAAUCGUUCGUCAUACUUGGGUAUAGGGGCGAAAGACUAAUCGAACCAUCUAGUAGCUGGUUCCCUCCGA
rnacentral:rRNA from 1 species